CAGAUAACAGUUACAAAGUUUUGGGGCUGGGGAUUUAGCUCAGCGGCAAAAGCGCCUGCCUGGCAAGCGCAAGGUCGUGAGUUCGGUUCCUGGUACCGGAGAAAAACCAAAAAAAAACCAAAAACCAAAAAAAAAAAAAAAAAAAAAAAAAAAAAAAAAAAAAAAAAAAAAAAAAAAAAAAAAAAAAAAAAAACAAAAAAAAACAAAAAAAAAAAAAAAAUUACAAUAUUUAACCUUCUAAUUCAUGAACAUGGUAUAUCUUUUCAAGUCAUUUAAAAUUUCUCUCAGCCAUGUUUUUGAGUUUUCAGUGUACAAGUCUUUUAUAACAUUAAAUUUAUUCCCAUUUGAGGCAUUUUAGUACUAUUUCAAUUUCUCUAAUUGUCUGCGAUAAUUAUUGUAUAUUGACCUUGUAUCCAAGUACCUUACUACAUUUUCUUACUCUAGUUUUUGAAAUGGAUUUUUUAGGAUUUAUGUAAACAGUCAUGUUGUUGUGAAUAAACACAAUUUUGUCUUUUUCAGUUCAAUCUUUAUGCCUUUUUUCUUGCCUAUGGCUGGUCAGAACUGUAGUACAGUGUUGAUAGAUGAGGUCAAUAUGAAUGUCUACUUUUCCCCAUCUUAGCGGACGAAACAAUUAAUCUUUCACCAUGAUGUUUACACUAUUCCUCUUGUAGAUGCUCUGUCUGAGCAAGUUCCCUUCUUUUCUUGCAAGAUUAUUUUUUGUCACGAACAAAUAUUUUAUGUUCUAUGCAUGUAUUGACAUGAUCAUCAUGUCUUUUCUUGUUCUUCCAGUGCUAUAUUGAUUUUUAAAUUUUAUUUUAAAGAGAGUAGUACAUGAGAAACACAGCAACAAAAAAGUAGAACAGUAGCAGCAUACCAGUAUCACGAACAUAAACAAAUCAAAGCAAAAACAUUCAAAGUGAUACAGGGUCUCAAGACAAAUUAAUACAAAUCAACAGUGGUUCUUACAUUGCAUAUUGCUAUCCUCAACUACAUUGCUCAGAUUAUCAGAUGUAAGAAUGAAAGAUUGGUCAAACCA
rnacentral:lncRNA from 1 species